CUCUCCGUUCUCCAUGAUCUUCGGCGGAGGAGCUCGUUAACGGACGUGCUGAAAGGAAAACCGAACGCGAUAACUUCGCUGUGUACAGUCCGAACAGGCUGAAACUGCGAACUGGACACCCACACGGAUCACACCCUCUUGACCUCCAGUAGGUGGCGCCUAUGUACCAUACUAACAGCCUAUUCCUCAGAUCCCUCGAGUCCCAAAGCGACGUGCAGCCGGGCUGGCCAAAAGGCUCAAGAUGGAUGAAAGACAAUGGAGUUUCUCCUUCACCAGCUUUACUCUUGGACAGGGAAGAAGACUGCAUAUCUAAACAGACUUGAGGAGCCAAGAAGUGGCCCCCUCCAGGUCCAUCCACCCUGCAGGUCCCUGGAUUGUUUUGCAAGGAGGAAUGAACGUAUGAGUGAGGGAGGAGUUCGCCAAUUCCUCCCACUGUUGGUCUGUCGCUGCAGGAUGAUACAGCCCCCACUGCCUCCCG